rnacentral:lncRNA from 1 species
ACCUGGUUCCGUCUUUAUUAUUCUAUUGGAAUAACCUGUAUACGCGGACUCCCCUAUACUUGGUGAAAUCCUUAUGUUAUUCCAUUCUUUAUUAUUCUAUUGCAAUAUCAUGUCUGUGCGUUUUACGUCGGACCUGGUUCCGUAUUUAUUAUUCUGUUGGAAUAACCUGCAUGUGCUAUCUAUCACAUGCCUGGUGAUUUCUUUUGUUAUUCCAUUCCUUAUUAUACUCAGUUGGUUAAAGUUUUGACUUCUAUACUCCAUGAAAUUAG